GCUUAAUAUAUCGAACAGUCACCCGCUGGUGGCGUGCUACGCUAUACGCGUAGAUAGAUAUAUUAAGCUAUU
rnacentral:ncRNA from 1 species